CGAGGGGCAAGGAUAGAAGCAGAGACAUCAAUGGAGAAGAGGCUAUAGAAAGAUUCUGAGCAAGAAAUGACAAUGGGUUGGUAAUGGUAGUGCAGGUGAUAAGAAGAAGUCACGUUCCAGAUGUACUUUUUCAGAUCAUUUGCUCUGGAGAAAGCCAGCAGGCAUGAGAGGCCCAUGUGGUGAGGAACUGAAGCCUCCUGCCCACAGCCACAUGUGUGAACUUAGAAAUUAGAAGAUCUUCUAGCCCAGUCAAUGGCUGUACAAUGGCUACAACCCUGGCUAAUACCUUGACUUCAACCUCACGAAACACUGAGCUAGAACCACCCAACUAAGCUGUUCCUAGAUUCCUCACCAUCAGGAACUGUG
rnacentral:lncRNA from 10 species